AUUGAACGCUGGCGGCAGGCCUAACACAUGCAAGUCGAACGCGUGGCGGACGGGUGAGUACUGUCUGGGCCACUGCCUGAUGGAGGGGGAUAACUACUGGAAACGGUAGCUAAUCCCGCAUACCACCGGCUGUGCCCAGAUGGGAUUAGCUAGGUGGGGGGGUACCGGCUCACCUAGGCGACGAUCCCUAGCUGGUCUGAGAGGAUGACCAGCCACACUGGAACUGAGACACGGUCCAGACUCCUACGGGAGGCAGCAGUGGGGAAUAUUGCACAAUGGGCGCAAUCCUGAUGCAGCCAUGCCGCGUGUAUGAAGAAGGCCUUCGGGUUGUAAAGUACUUUCAGCGGGGAGGCGUUACCCGCAGAAGAAGCACCGGCUAACUCCGUGCCAGCAGCCGCGGUAAUAC
rnacentral:rRNA from 1 species